CGAGACCUCAGGUCAGGCGGGGUUAC
rnacentral:rRNA from 1 species